rnacentral:rRNA from 1 species
CUGAACCUUCGGGGAACGAUAACGGCGUCGAGCGGCGGACGGGUGAGUAAUGCCUAGGAAAUUGCCCUGAUGUGGGGGAUAACCAUUGGAAACGAUGGCUAAUACCGCAUGAUGCCUACGGGCCAAAGAGGGGGACCUUCGGGCCUCUCGCGUCAGGAUAUGCCUAGGUGGGAUUAGCUAGUUGGUGAGGUAAGGGCUCACCAAGGCGACGAUCCCUAGCUGGUCUGAGAGGAUGAUCAGCCACACUGGAACUGAGACACGGUCCAGACUCCUACGGGAGGCAGCAGUGGGGAAUAUUGCACAAUGGGCGCAAGCCUGAUGCAGCCAUGCCGCGUGUGUGAAGAAGGCCUUCGGGUUGUAAAGCACUUUCAGUCGUGAGGAAGGUAGUGUAGUUAAUAGCUGCAUUAUUUGACGUUAGCGACAGAAGAAGCACCGGCUAACUCCGUGCCAGCAGCCGCGGUAAUACGGAGGGUGCGAGCGUUAAUCGGAAUUACUGGGCGUAAAGCGCAUGCAGGUGGUUUGUUAAGUCAGAUGUGAAAGCCCGGGGCUCAACCUCGGAAUAGCAUUUGAAACUGGCAGACUAGAGUACUGUAGAGGGGGGUAGAAUUUCAGGUGUAGCGGUGAAAUGCGUAGAGAUCUGAAGGAAUACCGGUGGCGAAGGCGGCCCCCUGGACAGAUACUGACACUCAGAUGCGAAAGCGUGGGGAGCAAACAGGAUUAGAUACCCUGGUAGUCCACGCCGUAAACGAUGUCUACUUGGAGGUUGUGGCCUUGAGCCGUGGCUUUCGGAGCUAACGCGUUAAGUAGACCGCCUGGGGAGUACGGUCGCAAGAUUAAAACUCAAAUGAAUUGACGGGGGCCCGCACAAGCGGUGGAGCAUGUGGUUUAAUUCGAUGCAACGCGAAGAACCUUACCUACUCUUGACAUCCAGAGAACUUUUCAGAGAUGAAUUGGUGCCUUCGGGAACUCUGAGACAGGUGCUGCAUGGCUGUCGUCAGCUCGUGUUGUGAAAUGUUGGGUUAAGUCCCGCAACGAGCGCAACCCUUAUCCUUGUUUGCCAGCGAGUAAUGUCGGGAACUCCAGGGAGACUGCCGGUGAUAAACCGGAGGAAGGUGGGGACGACGUCAAGUCAUCAUGGCCCUUACGAGUAGGGCUACACACGUGCUACAAUGGCGCAUACAGAGGGCGGCCAACUUGCGAAAGUGAGCGAAUCCCAAAAAGUGCGUCGUAGUCCGGAUUGGAGUCUGCAACUCGACUCCAUGAAGUCGGAAUCGCUAGUAAUCGUGGAUCAGAAUGCCACGGUGAAUACGUUCCCGGGCCUUGUACACACCGCCCGUCACACCAUGGGAGUGGGCUGCAAAAGAAGUAGGUAGU